UACGUAGGUGGCAAGCGAUACUCGGAAUCACUAGGCGUAAAGCGCAGGUAGGCGGUUUGAUAAGUCUGUUGUGAAAGCUCCCGGCUUAACUGGGAGAGGUCAACGGAAACUGUCAGGCUAGAGUGUGGUAGAGGUAGCUGGAAUUCCCGGUGUAGCGGUGAAAUGCGUAGAUAUCGGAAGGAACAUCAGUGGCGAAGGCGACUUCCUGGACCAAUACUGACGCUCAGGUGCGAAAGCGUGGGGAGCAAACAGG
rnacentral:rRNA from 1 species